UUGAAAUGCUUUGGAGAAGUACUGUUGCUGGCCUCUUAACAGAGGCAUGUGCACGUCUUCUUUAAAUCUAUUCAUCCACCUGUGCACUUUUUGUAGAAGUUCUUGUGAGGUUUUGGUUGUGCCUGCGUUUAUCACAAACACUAUAAAGUAUCAGAAUGUGUAUUACGAUGUAACGCAUCUAUAUA
rnacentral:misc_RNA from 1 species